rnacentral:rRNA from 1 species
AAAUCCGGAAAAUCAAGGCUGAGGCGUGAUGACGAGGCACUACGGUGCUGAAGCAACAAAUGCCCUGCUUCCAGGAAAAGCCUCUAAGCAUCAGGUAACAUCAAAUCGUACCCCAAACCGACACAGGUGGUCAGGUAGAGAAUACCAAGGCGCUUGAGAGAACUCGGGUGAAGGAACUAGGCAAAAUGGUGCCGUAACUUCGGGAGAAGGCACGCUGAUAUGUAGGUGAAGUCCCUUGCGGAUGGAGCUGAAAUCAGUCGAAGAUACCAGCUGGCUGCAACUGUUUAUUAAAAACACAGCACUGUGCAAACACGAAAGUGGACGUAUACGGUGUGACGCCUGCCCGGUGCCGGAAGGUUAAUUGAUGGGGUUAGCGGUAACGCGAAGCUCUUGAUCGAAGCCCCGGUAAACGGCGGCCGUAACUAUAACGGUCCUAAGGUAGCGAAAUUCCUUGUCGGGUAAGUUCCGACCUGCACGAAUGGCGUAAUGAUGGCCAGGCUGUCUCCACCCGAGACUCAGUGAAAUUGAACUCGCUGUGAAGAUGCAGUAUACCCGCGGCAAGACGGAAAGACCCCGUGAACCUUUACUAUAGCUUGACACUGAACAUUGAGCCUUGAUGUGUAGGAUAGGUGGGAGGCUUUGAAGUGUGGACGCCAGUCUGCAUGGAGCCGACCUUGAAAUACCACCCUUUAAUGUUUGAUGUUCUAACGUUGGCCCCUAAUCGGGGUUGCGGACAGUGUCUGGUGGGUAGUUUGACUGGGGCGGUCUCCUCCUAAAGAGUAACGGAGGAGCACGAAGGUUGGCUAAUCCUGGUCGGACAUCAGGAGGUUAGUGCAAUGGCAUAAGCCAGCUUGACUGCGAGCGUGACGGCGCGAGCAGGUGCGAAAGCAGGUCAUAGUGAUCCGGUGGUUCUGAAUGGAAGGGCCAUCGCUCAACGGAUAAAAGGUACUCCGGGGAUAACAGGCUGAUACCGCCCAAGAGUUCAUAUCGACGGCGGUGUUUGGCACCUCGAUGUCGGCUCAUCACAUCCUGGGGCUGAAGUAGGUCCCAAGGGUAUGGCUGUUCGCCAUUUAAAGUGGUACGCGAGCUGGGUUUAGAACGUCGUGAGACAGUUCGGUCCCUAUCUGCCGUGGGCGCUGGAGAACUGAGGGGGGCUGCUCCUAGUACGAGAGGACCGGAGUGGACGCAUCACUGGUGUUCGGGUUGUCAUGCCAAUGGCACUGCCCGGUAGCUAAAUGCGGAAGAGAUAAGUGCUGAAAGCAUCUAAGCACGAAACUUGCCCCGAGAUGAGUUCUCCCUGACUCCCUGAGAGUCCUGAAGGAACGUUGAAGACGACGACGUUGAUAGGCCGGGUGUGUAAGCGCAGCGAUGCGUUGAGCUAACCGGUACUAAUGAACCGUGAGGCUUAACCUU